GCCUACGGGAGGCUGCAGUGGGGAAUAUUGCACAAUGGGCGCAAGCCUGAUGCAGCGACGCCGCGUGCGGGAUGACGGCCUUCGGGUUGUAAACCGCUUUUGAUCGGGAGCAAGCCUUCGGGUGAGUGUACCUUUCGAAUAAGCACCGGCUAACUACGUGCCAGCAGCCGCGGUAAUACGUAGGGUGCAAGCGUUAUCCGGAAUUAUUGGGCGUAAAGGGCUCGUAGGCGGUUCGUCGCGUCCGGUGUGAAAGUCCAUCGCUUAACGGUGGAUCUGCGCCGGGUACGGGCGGGCUGGAGUGCGGUAGGGGAGACUGGAAUUCCCGGUGUAACGGUGGAAUGUGUAGAUAUCGGGAAGAACACCAAUGGCGAAGGCAGGUCUCUGGGCCGUUACUGACGCUGAGGAGCGAAAGCGUGGGGAGCGAACAGGAUUAGAUACCCGUGUAGUCC
rnacentral:rRNA from 1 species